rnacentral:piRNA from 1 species
UUUUAACUUUUUUCAGGAUUG